rnacentral:tRNA from 1 species
GAGGGUAUACCUCAAGAGGUAGAGUGCCUGCUUAGCAUGCAGGAGGUCCUGGGUUCAAUCCCCGGUACCUCCU